rnacentral:rRNA from 1 species
UACGAAGGGGGCUAGCGUUACUCGGAUUGACUGGGCGUAAAGGGCGCGUAGGCGGUUUGUACAGUCAGACGUGAAAUUCCUGGGCUCAACCUGGGGGCUGCGUUUGGAUACGUGCAGACUUGAGUUCGGAAGAGGGUCGUGGAAUUCCCAGUGUAGAGGUGAAAUUCGUAGAUAUUGGGAAGAACACCGGUGGCGAAGGCGGCGACCUGGUCCUUGACUGAGCUGAGGCGCGAAAGCGUGGGGAGCAAACAGG